rnacentral:lncRNA from 1 species
GGUGGGCCAGGAAGGCAACCAGCCAGAGAUCAAGAUUGCACCUGUCCCAAGACUGGAAGACUGGGUAUAAAAACAGAACAGUGGACACAACUCCAAGAGAAGGUUUUGACCAAAUGUCUUGAAUCAUAGAAGAUUUGACUGUAAACCUACUCCACAGUUUCUAUUCGGUGGAUGAUUUUGCUGAACUGAGCUAAGAUAGAAUUGGAUAUUGAAGAGCUAAAGUGUGUUGACUUUUAAAAAUUUUUUAUAAGCUCAACUUUGAUUUUAGAUUCAGGGGAUACAUGUGCAGGUUUGUUACAUGGCUGUAUUGCGUGAUGCUGAGGUUUGGCGUGUGAAGGAUCCUAUCAUCCAGAAUCCUCCAAACAACCUCAAUGAUCAGCCAAGUGGAGCUGGGGAAGUGGAGCUCUGCACCCAAGCUGAGCUCCAAGUGCCAAGAGCAAAUAGAAGAGCUGGGAAAAGAAGCAACUUGUCAGCUGUAUUUCUGCGAACUCUCGGUUCUCUGGCCUUCAGACUCCAGGACUUGCAGCAGUCACUCCCUGCCCCUCGCAGGUUCUCAGGGCUUUGGCCUUGGCCUGAGAGUUACCCCGUUGGCUUUCCUGGGACCCGACCUUGCAGGACACACAUUGCGGGACUUCUCAACCUCCACAGUCACGAAAAACCGAAGGAAGUUCGAGAACUCCAUUUUGCCUUAAGUAUUUUGGACAUUUGUGGUCCACAGCAGACUCCAGUGGAGAAGUUUUGCUUUCCCCACCACGACCAUUAA